CUUUAGUUAGCUAAUUAAGUGUUAGACUCUUAAUCUAAUGAUGAUAAGUAAAUUUUAUCACUAGGGG
rnacentral:tRNA from 1 species